AUUUUUUCCUCUGAGUCAUGUUUUUAAUAGAAAUUUCUCAACUUUGGUUCUGCCUGGCAAUGAUCACUGGACUUAGAGUACAACUUAUUUUUAACUAUGAACAGAGUAUUUUAAACGUUCCUGUUUUGACUGUUAAAUGCUUAGUGCAUUCAACUUCCCCCUAUUAUUCCAUAUGUAUUUACCUCAUUGUGGAGGAGACAAUUACCUUGAGACACACUUUGAGUUUUUACUUUACUAAUAGGGCAAUAAUGUGCCUAGUUCUUCUAUGGUUAAGGAAAUCAAGGCUACCUUAGAGAUUCUUAGUCCUAAUGGCUCUUUUGUUAAGACUGUGCCAUUUCAGAAAUUAUAACAAAAUAAACAAUAACAUUUGAAAGUGCCCUAGAUUUUCUUUUUUUGAUGCAGUGUCUCUCUACACAGCUCUGGUAGUCCUGAAACUCACUAUCCAGACGGUUCUUGAACUCACAGAGAACCACCUGUCCCUGCUUCUGGAGUGCUGUGAUUAAAGGCACUAUGCUAAUCCCUGGGAAUUCAGCAGUGAGUGUCACCAGGUAUCAGCCUGCUCUCACAGGACUUUCAUUCCCACUCCGGGCAAGAUGAAUGCAAAGUGACAGCUAAGAAAGCAACUGUUCGGAGCAAGCAACACAAAGUAAGCUGACAUAAUGACGACUGUGAGAGUUUGACACUAGACAGAGUCAACUAGAGAGGUGGCACAGUGGAAUUGUCACCUGAAGAGAGAAGGCAACCGCUGAAGACUGGAGGAACGAGGACCUGCAGAUUCUGGUGUAGCUCGUGGCACAUUGAUUUCACUCAAAUUCGGCCAUGAAGAUUAUCUGUAAGACAGGAUGAAUGUGUGACUAUAUGUGCCCAGCAAGCAAGGACCAGCAUUAAGGCGUCGACACUUGUUCAGAUACAUCCUCUGUGAGAUACAAUCAGAUAGCCAAUAAAAUACACCAAGGGAAUCUCAA